rnacentral:rRNA from 1 species
UAAGACGUAGGAGGCGAACGUUAUCCGGAUUUACUGGGCGUAAAGCGCGUGCAGGUUGUUUGGUAAGUAGGGCGUGAAAGCUCCUGGCUCAACUGGGAGAGGUCGUUCUAAACUGCCAAGCUAGAGGAUGGUAGAGGGAGGUGGAAUUCCGGGUGUAGCGGUGGAAUGCGCAGAUAUCCGGAGGAACACCAGUGGCGAAAGCGGCCUCCUGGACCAUUCCUGACACUCAGACGCGAAAGCUAGGGUAGCAAACGGG